ACUGGUUCAAACAGCUCAGGACCUUGGUUUCAGUAUUCUGACUGGAUAUUAUGCUAGGCUCUGAGUGCUACUAAGAAGGUGUUGUAGCCAGCCCUCAGAAGGGUCUGUCCUUGAUGCUGUGGAAAUGGGAGCAAACCUUUUGAUCUUGUUAUUGUUGAUGCUUCAGGAGAAGGUGUCCAACGCAAAUUCAGAGCAAAAUUUCUGGAACUGUGAUGAAAACAAGAUUAAAGAAGAAAUCAUUGGCAACAGAGUGCUUCAACAACUGAACUGCUGAAGUUUUUUCGGUGGAAUUAAGCUGAGAAGGAUCAUAAUGGAAAGCGACACUGAAAAAUCACAGGUUGUGCUUUAAAGUCACAAGAUGCCAUCAGUUUUGGGGAGAAAUCUCUAUCAAGGUCAUUCUCUUUCCUGCAUCAGUUGCUCACUUACACUGGGAGGACCCUGCAGCACACGGCGGUACCUUGAGAUGCCAAUUACUCUGAUUUGGAAUUUUGUGUACAGUAAUUAAACAGCCAGGUAGCAGCAGACAUGUGUUGCCCUGAGAUAACACGCUCCUUGGAAGUAUCAUGAGGCAGGAGGUGAAAUGAGUGCCUCCAGUGACCUGGGAAACGCAUUUAUCUCAGCGCUGCACGAGCCUGGGGGGGCAUUGCCAUUGUACACCAGCUACCAGCAUUAUUAGCUGCCCUGUGAUUGAUUGCACCAUGUCAAACAUAUGUUUAAAACAUGUUCAGCCUUGUGCAUCAUGUGAUAAUUAUGUCUGACUCUGAAGGACCAAUAUAUCAGGUGUGAGGCGAUAGGAGCAUGAAGUGUUUGGGGUUUUUUUGUUUUCACUGGGAUACGCAUGACUGGCAAAAGUUAUCUUGAGAGGGACUUGAGCUCCAGAGUGGCACAGCUUCAACAAACCCAACAUCCAUAAUGCAGGAGAGUGCUCACAUGUAAUUGGCUCAAGUGGAGCAUUCAGAGCUGGUGUGUAUUAUUCCUUUUUUUACAAAUACAUUUGUGCAUGGGAGUGUUUGCAUGCCCAGAGUGAUCUCCACCGUGUUUAUUUUCAACCCAUGAUUAUUUUUGCCCCCUGCCUGGUGCUGUGAGCUGUUUCAUUUUUCAGGUGACUGACAAGGAGCAUUUUUUCCGGCAGCACUGAACAGCCUGGCACUGUCCCUGGGAUGAGGGUUGGCUGCUCAGCACACCUCUGGCAGACAAAGGGCUUUGUGCUGCCUGCUCCUGCCCACAGCUCCACAUCACACACAGGAGAAAGGUCUAUCUUUAAUCUGAGCUGCUCAGGAAAUCAAAGGGGGGCGAUUAAAACAAGAGCAGUGACUGAUUUCCGUAGGAGAUCGCUUUCCUGUUUCAUUUGAUAUAAUGAACAGGAGAAUCAAAGCAAGGUUAGAAGCCCCUUGCACCUUCUUUUCCAGCAGUUUC